rnacentral:rRNA from 1 species
AUUGAACGCUGGCGGCAGGCUUAACACAUGCAAGUCGAGCGGAGAUGAGGUGCUUGCACCUUAUCUUAGCGGCGGACGGGUGAGUAAUGCUUAGGAAUCUGCCUAUUAGUGGGGGACAACAUUCCGAAAGGAAUGCUAAUACCGCAUACGCCCUACGGGGGAAAGCAGGGGAUCUUCGGACCUUGCGCUAAUAGAUGAGCCUAAGUCGGAUUAGCUAGUUGGUGGGGUAAAGGCCUACCAAGGCGACGAUCUGUAGCGGGUCUGAGAGGACGAUCCGCCACACUGAGACUGAGACACGGCCCAGACGCCUACGGGAGGCAUCAGUGGGGAAUAUUGGACAAUGGGCGGAAGCCUGAUCCAGCCAUGCCGCGUGUGUGAAGAAGGCCUUUUGGUUGUAAAGCACUUUAAGCGAGGAGGAGGCUACCUGGAUUAAUACUCUAGGAUAGUGGACGUUACUCGCAGAAUAAGCACCGGCUAACUCUGUGCCAGCAGCCGCCGUAAUAC